rnacentral:rRNA from 1 species
AUUGAACGCUGGCGGCAGGCCUAACACAUGCAAGUCGAGCGGAUGAAGGGAGCUUGCUCCUGGAUUCAGCGGCGGACGGGUGAGUAAUGCCUAGGAAUCUGCCUGGUAGUGGGGGAUAACGUCCGGAAACGGGCGCUAAUACCGCAUACGUCCUGAGGGAGAAAGUGGGGGAUCUUCGGACCUCACGCUAUCAGAUGAGCCUAGGUCGGAUUAGCUAGUUGGUGGGGUAAGGCCUACCAAGGCGACGAUCCGUAACUGGUCUGAGAGGAUGAUCAGUCACACUGGAACUGAGACACGGUCCAGACUCCUACGGGAGGCAGCAGUGGGGAAUAUUGGACAAUGGGCAAAAGCCUGAUCCAGCCAUGCCGCGUGUGUGAAGAAGGUCUUCGGAUUGUAAAGCACUUUAAGUUGGGAGGAAGGGCAGUAAGUUAAUACCUUGCUGUUUUGACGUUACCAACAGAAUAAGCACCGGCUAACUUCGUG